rnacentral:sRNA from 1 species
UAAUCAAGAACAACUUGCGGUUUGUACCGGU